rnacentral:rRNA from 1 species
UACAGAGGGUGCAAGCGUUGUUCGGAAUUAUUGGGCGUAAAGCGCGUGUAGGCGGCUUUGCAAGUCGGGUGUGAAAGCCCUCGGCUCAACCGAGGAAGUGCGCCCGAAACUGCAGAGCUUGAGUACCGGAGAGGAUGGCGGAAUUCCCCAAGUAGAGGUGAAAUUCGUAGAUAUCGGGAGGAACACCAGUGGCGAAGGCGGCGAUCUGGGCAGAUACUGACGCUGAGGUGCGAAAGCGUGGGGAGCAAACAGG